AUAAAUUAAGUACCAAAUCCAAAAGCAAAAAUAUUAGUUACAAGCCAAGUAUUUAAAAUAAAUAAAGUAACAAACCCAAAAGCAAAAAAAUUAGUUACAAUCCAAAGUUUUAAUAAUUAAGUUUCAAACCAAAAGCAAAAAAACAAAGUUUCAAGUUUAUGAAGAUUGUUGACCUCUUCGGCCCCUUCGGCCCCUUCUUGUUGGCACUUGUAAUUUUCCCCUUGAUGUUGAUGGUUGAGCCCUUCCCCUUACAAUGGGUGGUCGUGGUCGUGGAGGUAGUGAUUGAUUUUGACGUUGUUGAACUUGUACUUGAGGUGGUCGAGGAGGUGGAGGUGGCAUUUCAUUUUCUUGUGUUGUAUUCUCCUCACCUCCCAAAUUA
rnacentral:lncRNA from 1 species